rnacentral:lncRNA from 1 species
AAAAUCAACGGCUGAAAAUAAAAAUCUUACAAAAUAUGAUGAUAUGACAUUAAAAUUUUAGAUCAAAGUUAUUGAUCUUGUUUUAUAUGGUAUAAAGAAUUUUCUAUCAAAAUUUCAUGUGAUUUGGAUAUUUCUACACCGUUAAACUUGCAACCGGCUUACCACGGCCAUUAAAAUUAUUAAUUUUGAGCCCCUUCGAUCACUAGGCAAAUGAUAUCGAAAAAUCACAAAAUUUAUUUUCUAGGUACUUCAAAUACUCUAGAUCAACUUUAACGAAGCUGACCGUCGAUUCGAAAGUCCGAACAUCGAAAACAACUUGAAAGCACGGAGGGCUCCGUCCUUCCAUAAGCAUACCAGCCCUCUCUCUCUCUCUCUCUCUCUCUCUCUCUCUCUCUCUCUCUCUCUCUAUAUAUAUAUAUAUAUAUAGUACUCUCUCUCUCUCUCUCUCUAUAUAUAUAUAUAUAGUACGUCUUCCGUGCUUUCGAAAAAAUGGAGGCUUCCGUACUUGUAAGUUGUUUCGAUGAUAGGACAUCCGAUUCGACGAUCGGCUCCGUUAGGCAUAAUCUAUACUAUUGGAACUAUCUAGAAACCAAAUUUUAUAAUUUUUCGACAUCAUUUACCAAGCGAUCACAGGGUCUCAAAAAUGACUAUUUUAACGGCCGAUGUGGCACGUUUUUAAGUUCAACAAUGUAGAAGUAUCCAAAUAAAUGAAACUUUAAUGGAAAAUUCUACUUAACAUCAAGAGCAAAAACAAUACUUCCGAUUUGAAAUUUGAAUCAUUUAUCACUAUUUUUUAUGAGAUUUUUAUUUUCGGCCAUUCAUUUUGAGGCUACUCGCUCACUAGACAAACGAAGUUAAAAAAUUAUGAAAUUUGGUUUCUAGAUAGUUCCAAUAGCGUAGAUCAUGUUUAACGGAACUGAUCGCCGAAUCGGACGUCCCAUCAUUGAAAACAACUUACAAGUACGGAGGCCUCCGUACUUUCGAAAGCAUAGGAGCGUAGCUCUAUAUAUAUAUAUAUAUAUAUAUAUAGAGCUAGGUUACUAUACUAUCUAUAGUAUCGAGCUCCGGUACUAUAGUGUUGGUUUUCGAUCUUAGGGCGUUCAAAUCAACGAUCCACACCGUUAAAACUGAUCUAGAGUAUUUAAAGUUUCUAGAAAUAAAAUUUUAUAUUUUUUCGACAUAGUUUACUUUAUGAUCAAACCAUUUCAAAAUUGUCAAUUUUCAAUGACUAUUAUGACGAGUUUUGAGUUUAACGGUGUAGAAGAAUCUAAAUUUCCUCAAAUUUUAAUAGAAAAUACUUUAAACUAUAUAGAUUAAGAUUAACAUUCUUGAUCUUGAAUUUAAAAGUCCUAUGCUCAAUUUUUAAAGAAUAUUCAAUUUCCACCGUCCAUUUUGACAUAAUUUAUUUACUAAGUAAACGAUAUCGAAAAAAACUAAAAUUUUAUUCCUAAGAAAUUCAUAUACCCUAGAUCAUAUUUAACGGUGUGGAUCGUUGAUUUGAACACCCUAAGAUCGAAAACAAACACUAUAGUACCGGAGCUCGGUACUAUAGAUAGUAUAGUAGCCUAAUUCUAUAUAUAUAUAUAUAUAUAUAUAUAUAUAUAUAUAUAUAUAUAUAUAGAGUUGAGCUAGAAUACUAUCGAUAACAAACAGGCCCCGUUGCCACCCAUUUGUUUUCGAUGAUAGAGCCUUCAAAUCGACGAUCGGUAUCGUUGAACAUAAUCUAUACCACUUGAAGUGUUUAGAAAUCAAAUUUCAUACACUUUCGAUAUUGUUCUCUUAUCCAUCGAGUGGACACAAAAAUGAACGCGUGAAAAUGAAUAUUCUUUAAAAAAUGAUGAUAGGAGUCUUGUAAUCAAGAUCAAGAGUAUAGAUCAUAUUUUAAAUAGUUUAAAGAAUUUUCUAACAAAAAUUCAAUUGAUUUGAAUAUCUUUACGCCAUUAAACGAGAAAACGCCUCAUAUCGACCCUUAAAAUUGUAAAUUUUGAAACCCUUUGAUCAUUAGGCAAAUAAUGUCGAAAAGAUUUGAAAUUUGAUUUUUAAAUACUUCAAGUGGUAUAGAUCAUGUUCAAUGGUGCCGAUCGUCGAUUUAGAGGCUCCAUCAUCGAAAACAAAUGGGUGGCAACGAAACCCGUUUGCUAUUGAUAGUAUUCUAGCUCAACUAUAUAUAUAUAUAUAUAUAGAGAGAGAGAGAGAGAGAGAGAGAGAGAGAGAGAGAGAGAGAGAGAGAGUUGAGCUAGAAUACUCUCAAAAGCAUCAAGGGAUUGGUACUUUUGAGUUUUUAGCCAUUGGAUUGAGAGAUGUAGGGUUGGGCUAGAAACUCAAAAGCACCAAGGGUUGGUACUUUUGAGAGUAUUCUAGCUCAAUUAUAUAUAUGUAUAUAUAAUAAUAAUGAUACUAAUAAUAUUAAUUAAUUAAAUUUAUAAGUUUCCAUGCAAAGAGAAAGCGUUAUAUUGAUUAAACCACAGUUUUAAUUUUGAAGAGUGUAGUCUUUUACAUAUAUAGCGUAAUGUUACGUGUUUAAUAUAUAAUAAAUAGGAAUAAUUGCCUAUAUACUUUUCGUACGUUUGAAAAUAUUCGAUUUAUCCCUACUUUUUUUUUUCUUUCUAAAAUACCCCUCAUAUGUUCUACCGUUAUUGUAAAAUAUCUCUGUAGUUAUCUCCUGUUAAGUUAACUUGGGUUAAACGUAAGUUAAACAUAUACCACAGUUAAAAAAAAUUAAAAUGCCAAUUUUACCCUUAACUUAAGGCCAAAUAAGAAAUUUUUUUUUAAAUUUUUUUAGAGAGAGGUAGCACGCUACCCGCUUCGUUUAUUUCAUUUAGAAAUAAACUUAGCUGGAAAUGUAAAUCAACUAGGAUUCAAACUUGAGUCUCGGGUACCAACCACCGAGCCCUUUGCGACUUGCUCUAGGGACGGUCGGUACAAAUAAAAAAUAUUGGUAACGGUAGAGGGGUAUAUUGGAAAAGACCAAAAGUCAAAAUACUUUUUAUGCCCCUGAUUUUAAGGGCAAAUAAGAAAGUCGGUAAUGAUGAAAAGAUAUAGUUGAAAGGGCAAAAUAGUAAUUUUACAGAAAUAACAGAGUUAAUUAAUAUAUUUUAACUCUAGGGGUAUAUUAGAAAUAGGUUGGAACGUAGAAAGAGUAUUUUCAAUAUUAAUCUUCUAAGAGGAAUAAAUUAAAAAGUCGAAAAUUUUUCAAAAGUACAUAAGCAAUUGCCCCUAAUAAAUAAAUGUCUCGUGACAUUUCGCAGUGUGCAAGUUGGCGAGUAAGGUCAUUUCCUGGCGAAAGAACAAGGACUCGUGAUUGACUUUUGUCAACCGUCCUACGGUGACUUGUUCUUUCCCUUGUCAUUUUGGCCACACCAAAUCUGCAUAUAUAUUUUGGUUAUUCUUUAGUAAUAAAUUUAGUUAAAAUCGUGAAGUAUAAAAUUAAAAUUCCGGAUAUUAAUUUUUAAGUUUUUUGUCGUCUGUAUUAGAAAUGGUCGGUUCUUAUUCUACAAAGAUAAUAUAAAAAUUUAGUGUCUUUUAAAAAAAAUAAUUAAAAAAAAGAACAAGAGGAACCCAUCAACUAUACACCAUUUUAAAAUGAGAAUGAUAUUAUUAGCUAGGGCCGUUUUAGAUACAAUAUAUGUAUUUUUGCUGAUCGAUAGUAGAUAAUAUUUAAUUUUGCAAUAAUAAUCUCCGGCUAAAAUGAUCUGAUUUUCGCCUGAUUUACACCUGUCGAACAUCCGGUUGUUCUUUUGAUUAUAUAUAUAGUUGCGUCUUCAAAUUUGAAUUAGAAAUUUUCAACAUCAACGACUUAAUUUAUUAGCUACUAAUCGCUGACUGUGAAUAUAAUCAGUACUUCCAUCGACCAGACGAGAAUAUUCAAAAUAAAAUUUUUAAAUCACCGUUAGAUUUUUUUUAGAAAAAAACAUAAUUGAAAUAACUUAACUAAAAGAAUAAAAAAUUGUGGCGCACGGAUUAAAAAAAAAAAAAAACAACAACAAUUUGGAGGACCUAUUUCAAACUGGGCUAUGGUUGAUGUGUUCUCAAUAAAUUUUUUUUAACUUUUAUAUAUAGACCAACUCUCUGUCCACAUAAUCAAUGUCAUGGGAUCAAUUUAAUUUAUGUGACCAAGUUCAUGUCAUGAGACAAGAACAGGAAUCAGAUACACAGUCUCAUAAAUGGCAUUCCAAGAAGAUCACAAAGAUUUGGGGCCCCCUCUUCUUCAGCUUCUUUUAAAGAGAAAGUUGCAGCAUUUUUUUAUAGCCAGUUGUUUCUUUCCUUUUUGUUAUUAUUUUUCCACAUUAAAAUGAACUGUGCAGAUAAAGUUUUUACCUUCUCUUUAGUUUCUCAAACUGAUAUGGGACCUGAUCUUUCUGUGGAGGAGGUUUUUUGUGGCCCCAGCAUGCAGGAAAUAAAUUUGUAAUAAAACUUUGCAUACUGUUGGAUAUAAAUUGUAAAUGACUGAAAGCUAUUAAUCUCUGACACAUUAAACUUUCAGAAAAAAAAAAUUAUUUUUUUAUAAGAAAAGAUAAUUUAGCAAUUUAACCUUAUGGGUGCGUUUGGUUCGCACUAUGAAAGAUUACUAGCAAUAAAAAGAUGUCCGAUAAUCUUAUUCCUAUUCAUUCUAUUACUAAGAAUGUGGCAUUCCUGUGUUUGGUUCGCGCGGUUAUAUUACUUAGUCAUGUUAUUUAAGUUUACAAAGAAUAUACAAUUAAUUAAUUUAUUUAUUUAUUUAAUUUGAGAUAAUGCCACCAAAUAUUUCAACAUCUUUUUAGAAAAAGGAAGAGAAAGAAUAUAGGUUAGAGAGAGAGAGCAUAAUUAAAGAAAUAGGAAGAGAAAUAGAGUCGAGAUUAGAGGGAGUGAGAGAGUUGAGAUUUUAGAAAAAAGAGGGGAAAAGAGAGAAAAAGAGUUGAAGUUUAGAGAGAAAAAAAAAAGUUUAGAGAGAGAUAUGAGGUUAGAGUGUAAAGAAAAAUAAUACCAACUAGCCGGCGGGUAGGGAGAAAGAAAGAGAUUUGACAUAUUAUGAUGACCCCAAUUCAUUAAUAUGAGGAUACCCACCCUUCCUCAAGGGAAUGAGAUUAGUAUUUUGUGAUAAAUCUCAUUUCCAAGUAAAUCUAAUAUUACCGACUAGAUUACUUAGUAUGUUUAGCCAAACAUCAUUAUAUUUUUUUAUUUUUAUUAAAUUAUUAGAAAUUUUAAAAAGAUAGUACGAACCAAACGCACCAUGUAGAGCAACUGUUUAUUUUCCACGCACCACUUAAUGAAAGCAAAAAUAUCCGUCCCAACUAGUAACGGCGGUUUGGCGAUAUAACUGUAAAGCGAAAACUAAUGGUACGUGGUGAUAGAUUCUUUUCUUUGAGUAGCCCGAGUAAAUAGUGUGCAGAAAUUUUCAGCCGCAGACGAUUUGCUCCCACUUCUUUUUGGUAUCCUCACUGAAAGAUUGUUUCCUGUUACCUAAGAAUAGGCUACAGCCACAAAAUUAUAAGCCCUGAUUGCUUGGCUUUAAAUUUGAGCCCUUCUUGGUGCCAAGUCAUGUCCUCUGUUUACUUAUUCUUUAUCUGUUCUAGACAUACAUAUACCCAAUAUCUACAGGCUUCUGGGAAACGUAAGCUUCCCAUUUUUUUUUGUCAUGUUCGUUUAGCAUAUGCAAAAACAGUAUAUAUAUAAAUGGUAGCACCGUAGCAGUGAUGCAAAUUAAGUACUUCUUGAUUAAAGAGUACGAAGUAUACAUCGAUUUCUCCACAAGUUAGUAACAAGGACAACAUGUAAAUUAUCUUAUAUACUGUGGUCUUAAUUGUACUAAACACAUAUUCCUAUCUUAAAAGAAUAGUAGAUUUGAAUAACCACAUCAGAAUGAUCAGCUUUUUUUUAAAAAAAAAGAAAAAGAAACUUAAGAUCAUAUAUAUAUAAUGGAACAAAUUAGUGUGAGAUUACUUAUUGUUUAAUUUAAGGUUCGAGAAAAGGUGCAACUUGGAUAUCUCCUCCUCUAACACGUUUAAUUGCUUUGUUUCUACAUGUCUAAUUCUUAUGUAUUAACAAUUAUAUUUAUAUCUUCUUUCCGCUGUUAGGUGGUAAUGGGAUUGACAUGCAAUUGAUACGUGACAGAGUCCUCUGGGCCUAUAAUUUGGAGCCUUCUUAAAAUUAGCUAUCGCUUGCUAUUGCCUACGCUUACACGAUUCAAUUAAUCGACAUAAAGCGCCAAAUUUCAUUGACCGUAAGUUUGAAUGAGUUAGCCUCUCACUUUCCUAAUGUCUUGUUCUAAUCAGCUGAGCUACAUAUAUAGAAAAAGAAAUACUAUUUAUAUAUAUGCAUGGUGAUACUAAAUGAGUUAUAUUACAUGUACUGAAAAAAAGGUGCGGAAGAAGUAACGUAAUAAGAAACAUGAAAAUGUGUCAUAAAUUAAAAUUAGUCUGAUGUGAAAGCUUACUGAAUACCUAACCUCUUGACAAAAGGAAAUUUAGAGCCAACUCUGAUACCAUGUUUUCUAUGCAGCAAAGAUUUUCUUAAUUAACUUUUAAAUCCAUUAAUAGGGUGUGGAAAUUAAUUAAGCAAAGUAAGCUUACAAUAAGCUUAUAUAAAGGUGUUUUCAUCAGCAUUGAUAAGAGAGAGUGGUGGUGGGCUCUUUAACUGAAAUGAUUGGCCUGACUGGUCUUUGCGUGUGGGGCCAAUAUAUAAUUGCGGCUGGUAUGCUUAUGAAAGCACGGAGCGCUCCGUGUUUCCACUUUAUUUUCGAUGUUCGGACUUUCGAAUCGACUAUCGGCUCCGUUAGAUUUGAUCUAAAGUAUUUGAAGUAUCUAGAAAAUAAAUUUUGCGAUUUUUUGAUAUCAUUUGUCUAGUGAUCGAAGUGGCUCAAAAUCAACGGUUGAAAAUAAAAAUCUUACAAAAUAUGAUGAUAUGAUAUUAAAAUUUUAUAUCAAAGUUAUUGAUCUUGUUUUAUAUGGUAUAAAGAAUUUUCUAUCAAAAUUUCAUGCGAUUUGGAUAUUUCUACACCGUUAAACUUGCAACCGGCUCACCACGGCCAUUAAAAUUAUUAAUUUUGAGCCCCUUCGAUCACUAGGCAAAUGAUAUCGAAAAAUCACAAAAUUUAUUUUCUAGGUACUUCAAAUACUCUAGAUCAACUCUAAUGGAGCCGAUCGUCGAUUCGAAAGUCCGAACAUCGAAAACAAAGUGGAAGCACGAAGGGCUCCGUGCUUCUAUAAGCAUACCAGCCUACUAUAUAUAUAUAUAUAUAAUUGAGCUCCUAUGCUUUUAAAAGUACCAAGUUAUUGGUGCUUGUAA